rnacentral:rRNA from 1 species
UCACUAGUAGAUGGACCUGCGUUGUAUUAGCUAGUUGGUGAGGUAACGGCUCACCAAGGCNACGAUACAUAGCCGACCUGAGAGGGUGAUCGGCCACACUGGGACUGAGACACGGCCCAGACUCCUACGGGAGGCAGCAGUAGGGAAUCUUCGGCAAUGGGGGCAACCCUGACCGAGCAACGCCGCGUGAGUGAAGAAGGUUUUCGGAUCGUAAAGCUCUGUGU